GAUGAACGCCGGCGGCGUGCCUAAUACAUGCAAGUCGAGCGAACGGACGAGAAGCUUGCUUCUCUGAUGUUAGCGGCGGACGGGUGAGUAACACGUGGAUAACCUACCUAUAAGACUGGGAUAACUUCGGGAAACCGGAGCUAAUACCGGAUGAUAUUUUGAACCGCAUGGUUCAAAAGUGAAAGACGGUCUUGCUGUCACAUAUAGAUGGAUCCGCGCUGCAUUAGCUAGUUGGUAAGGUAACGGCUUACCAAGGCAACGAUGCAUAGCCGACCUGAGAGGGUGAUCGGCCACACUGGAACUGAGACACGGUCCAGACUCCUACGGGAGGCAGCAGUAGGGAAUCUUCCGCAAUGGGCGAAAGCCUGACGGAGCAACGCCGCGUGAGUGAUGAAGGUCUUCGGAUCGUAAAACUCUGUUAUUAGGGAAGAACAUAUGUGUAAGUAACUGUGCACAUCUUGACGGUACCUAAUCAGAAAGCCACGGCUAACUACGUG
rnacentral:rRNA from 1 species